GCUGGGCAUGGUGGCGCAUGCCUGUAAUCCCAGCUACUCAGGAGGCUGAGGCAGAAGAAUUGCUUGAACCUGGGAGGUGGAGGUUGCAGUGAGCCACAAUCGCGCCACUACACUCCCACCUGGGAAAUGGAGUGAGACUCUGUCUCCA
rnacentral:SRP_RNA from 1 species